rnacentral:rRNA from 1 species
UACGGGGGGAGCAAGCGUUGUUCGGAUUUACUGGGCGUAAAGGGCGCGUAGGCGGCGUAACAAGUCACUUGUGAAAUCUCCGGGCUUAACUCGGAGCGGUCAAGUGAUACUGUUGUGCUAGAGUGUGGCAGAGGGAGGUGGAAUUCCACGUGUAGCAGUGAAAUGCGUAGAGAUGUGGAGGAACACCGAUGGCGAAGGCAGCCUCCUGGGCCAGCACUGACGCUCAGUGACACGAAAGCCGUGGGGAGCAAACAGGA